rnacentral:lncRNA from 1 species
UUAGGAUCAUCGCUGAAUCGAAUAGUUACACUGUGCGCAAGAAAGCAAAACUGUAAUUGGUUUUACUGUCUUUCGAGCAUAUAUUUAGAAAGCUUUAAAUAUGUAGUUACAAAAAGGCUGCAAUGUGGUGUAUUUGUUAGUAUAGAGGCUAAUCGCACUGAUGUCAAGUUUUUUAAGUUUAAUCUUGAUUUACGUUAAUGAUGACCUUUUUAUCCAAAUAAGUGGGCAUGAAGCAACUAAAAACUUCGAAAGUAUUUUUUAUGUCUGGUUAAUUAUGAUGUUACAAAUUUAAGAAAUAGUAUGUAGACAGUUUUACAGUCAAUAAUCUACUUGCC